rnacentral:misc_RNA from 1 species
GAGAUUGAAACAUAGUUUAGGUGAUUCUAUAGAAUAUAGGAACCAAAAAAUUCACCAUCUAGAUUUUUGCUUCUUGUAGCACAUUCUUUUCCUGCCAACUUUUGUUCUUAUUAUUUUGAUAUGUCCCCAAUUUUGGAGAGGAUAUGCAGAAUUUGUAAAAUUAUUAGAUUAAGGAGAGCUAUUGGUUCUGGAAUUUGAUGUGGGAUCUUAUUGCAUUGUUUAGA